rnacentral:sRNA from 1 species
GCUGGGUGCGGUAGCACACGCCUGUAAUCCCAGCAGUUCAGGAGUCUGAGACAGGAGGAUUGCAAGUUCAAAGCCAGCCUCAGCAAUGGCGAGGUGCUUAGCAACUCAGUGAGAUCCUGUCUCUA